rnacentral:rRNA from 1 species
UGAGGAAUAUUGGGCAAUGCCCGCAAGGGUGACCCAGCAACGCCGCGUGGAGGAUGAAUGUCGUAAGAUUGUAAACUCCUGUUAGAGGCGUUAGACGGUACCGGGAAAGUAAGGGUCGGCUAACUAUGUGCCAGCAGCCGCGGUAAUACGUAGGGGGCAAGCGUUGUCCGGAUUUACUGGGUGUAAAGGGCGCGCAGGCGGGAUAAAAAGUCAGUGGUGAAAUCCUACAGCUUAACUGUAGAACUGCCUUUGAUACUUUUAUUCUUGAGUUCGGGAGAGAGAGACGGAAUUCCAGGUGUAGUGGUGAAAUACGUAGAUAUCUGGAAGAACACCAGUUGCGAAGGCGGUCUCUUGGUCCGACACUGACGCUGAGGCGCGAAAGCGUGGGGAGCAAACA